UACGAAGGGGGCUAGCGUUGCUCGGAAUUACUGGGCGUAACGCGUGCGCAGGCGGUUUUGUAAGUCCGAUGUGAAAUCCCCGGGCUUAACCUUGGCACUGCGUUUGAAACUACAAGGCUAGAGUGUAGCAGAGGGGGGUGGAAUUCCACGUGUAGCAGUGAAAUGCGUAGAGAUGUGGAGGAACACCGAUGGCGAAGGCAGCCCCCUGGGCUAACACUGACGCUCAGGCACGAAAGCGUGGGGAGCAAACAGG
rnacentral:rRNA from 1 species